rnacentral:rRNA from 1 species
UCCGUAGGUGGAUAAUUAAGUCAGAGGUGAAAUCCUGCAGCUCAACUGUAGAAUUGCCUUUGAUACUGGUUAUCUUGAGUCAUUAUGAAGUGGUUAGAAUGUGUAGUGUAGCGGUGAAAUGCAUAGAUAUUACACAGAAUACCGAUUGCGAAAGCAGAUCACUAAUAAUGUACUGACACUGAGGGACGAAAGCGUGGGGAGCGAACAGGAUUAGAUACCCUGGUAGUCC